rnacentral:rRNA from 1 species
UGCUAUUGCCCACAUGUGUUUUUUAUUGAACAAAUUUCUUUGGUGGCGGGAGCAAUCCUACCGCCAGAGGUUAUAACUAAACCAAACUUUAUUUACAGUCAAACUUGAUUUAUUAUUACAAUAGUCAAAACUUUCAACAACGGAUCUCUUGGUUCUCGCAUCGAUGAAAAACGCACCGAAAUGCGAUACGUAAUAUGAAUUGCAGAUAUUCGUGAAUCAUCGAAUCUUUGAACGCACAUUGCGCCCUUUGGUAUUCCAAAGGGCAUGCCUGUUUGAGCGUCAUUUCUCCCUCAAACCCCCGGGUUUGGUGUUGAGCAAUACGCUAGGUUUGUUUGAAAGAAUUUAACGUGGAAACUUAUUUUAAGCGACUUAUGUUUAUCCAAAAACGCUUAUUUUGCUAGUGGCCACCACAAUUUAUUUCAUAACUUUGACCUCAAAUCAGGUAGGACUACCCGCUGAACUUAAGCAUAUCAAUAAACG